GACGAACGCUGGCGGCGUGCCUAAUGCAUGCAAGUUGAGCGCUGAAGGUUGGUACUUGUACCAACUGGAUGAGCAGCGAACGGGUGAGUAACGCGUGGGGAAUCUGCCUUUGAGCGGGGGACAACAUUUGGAAACGAAUGCUAAUACCGCAUAAAAACUUUAAACACAAGUUUUAAGUUUGAAAGAUGCAAUUGCAUCACUCAAAGAUGAUCCCGCGUUGUAUUAGCUAGUUGGUGAGGUAAAGGCUCACCAAGGCGAUGAUACAUAGCCGACCUGAGAGGGUGAUCGGCCACAUUGGGACUGAGACACGGCCCAAACUCCUACGGGAGGCAGCAGUAGGGAAUCUUCGGCAAUGGACGAAAGUCUGACCGAGCAACGCCGCGUGAGUGAAGAAGGUUUUCGGAUCGUAAAACUCUGUUGGUAGAGAAGAACGUUGGUGAGAGUGGAAAGCUCAUCAAGUGACGGUAACUACCCAGAAAGGGACGGCUAACUACGUG
rnacentral:rRNA from 1 species